rnacentral:lncRNA from 1 species
AGGCCAAUGUGAAAAUAUCGACGAAAAACAUGGUCUUGUAGGGCUAGGUCUAAACCAAAAUUUAUAGAAAGAUUAAAAGAUUCCCUAGGUGUAGCUAAAAGUUCAUUAUCUUCUUGAUUAAAAGAUAGGACCUCGGCUAUAGAAAAGGGUUGGUUUUGACCUAUUGCAAUCAACUCUGGACACAGAUCAUAAUUAGGGGUAAAGAAAGAACUUGUUGACUCCCAUGGUCUAUGGCUGGUCUCCGAAGGUGCAAAAAAUUCAAUAAUAGGUGUGGAAUUUGAGUUAUCCAUAA